rnacentral:lncRNA from 1 species
CAAUAAUCUGCUUUUGGAGGUGGUCAGAUCACAUAAUCAGGGCUGAGCUCAAGAUGCAGAACAGGCUUGUGUGGGAGUGCUGGGCUAGCCUCCUGCUUUCCAGUUGCUGUGACGGUGGUAGAGAUGAGCAAGCUUUGUUCACCUCACUUUGCUACCUCUGGGCUCAGAGCGCUACUGCAACUGACCUUCAUCUGGAGAUGGAGGGAAACCACGGGGCUACUUCCCGAUGCUGCAACGCUUCAGUCCCUGUGUGAUGUACAGAAAGCAACCUGCAAUUAUACAAUUAGACCGAAUGUACACUUUCCCCAUUAGUGUUUAUUUUUGUCGCCGGUCACAUGGCUUCCUGGAAAAAUGAAGGCCGUUAGUCUAUGGGGCUCAUCUUUCCUCUCCCCUUUCAAGACAUUUUGCUGAUCUCCUUUGAUUUCAGCCUGCUGAUUCUUCUCUUUAAGGAUGCUCCUUGGAGUUCGAGGGGCUCAGAGGUGUGUGGAUUGCUGAAAUUGGACUUACGUGGCAUAUUUACCUUGAAAAGCUGAGGCCUGUGUAAAGAGGCCCCUGGCAGCUGGCUGUCAGUGGGGCAGGAAGAGGAAAGCACAAACCAAAGGGGAGGGAUGAUGUUUCAGAGAGAGGCUAACUCCUGGGUGUGGGGUUGAGGGAGAGGGAAAAGCGUGGCAGUUCGUGGUCAAAUGCACUGCUCCUGAGUGCCUGGGAUCCGAGGGAGAGGGCGCCGUUGGGCAUGCUACGCGAUUCAGAGGAAUAACCCGAGUGUUCCCUGACCUGCCAAACUGCUUGGCAGCCACCCAUUUGACCGUCCAAUGAGCUUCCCAGCAGCACAAAUCAGAAAGUCAAUAAGACAGCACCAGUUUCCAAAUCCCAUCUCAUUGCACAUAAACCGAAAGUCUCAACAAUCAAUAAUGUGUUACUGAAUUACAAUCAGAAUUCAGCGUAGCAACACCUCAACGAGCCAGUGCGUCCAAGAGGCAUCUGAGUCAAUGAGUGAACUCCAAAAAUGUUAAAUGAGAUGAAGUGGUCAGAUCAUAAUUUUGGAAGCAAUGUCUGAAAGGCAGCAGGUGGGAGAUGAAGAAGAGAAGGAAAGGGAAAAUGAGAGAAAGCCUGCAGUUGAUCUGUUUUAUUUAUUUAUUUUUUAAAAAUGGUCCAGUUCAGUACCAAUUAAUCAUUCCAGUCUCUCCGUGCCAGCCGUGGAAAAUCUCCAGCAUCUAUGGGUUUGUGUUAAUGUCCGCAACUCCAUUGCCGACU